rnacentral:rRNA from 1 species
AACGAACGCUGGCGGCGUGCCUAAUACAUGCAAGUCGAACGCAGAGGGGACGGGUGAGUACCACGUGGGUAACCUACCAUCACAGGGGAUAACCCGUGGAAACAGGUGCUAAACCGCUACUGAUUGAUGGAGCCGCGGGGCAGUAGCUAGGUGGUGGGGGACCGGCUCACCAAGGCCCCGAUGCAUAGCUGGCCUGAGAGGGUGAUCGGCCACACUGGAACUGAGACACGGCCCAGACUCCUACGGGAGGAAGCAGUGGGGAAUCUUCGGCAAUGGGCGAAAGCCUGACCGAGCAACGCCGCGUGAGUGAAGAAGGUUUUCGGAUCGUAAAACACUGUUGUUAGAGAGGCGGUAUCAAAACAGAAAGCAACGGCUAACUUCGUGCCAGCAGCCGCGGUAAUUC